UUUUUAUCUUUAUUAUACUUAUUAAAUAUAAUUAUAUUUAUUAAACUUAUUUCUUAAUAGAAUUAUUAACAGUUUAGCACAAAAUAACCAGGCAUAAAAUUCAAAAGUUGUUUACAAUUAUCGUUUAAUAAUAUAUAACAUUUAUUUACCUGAAAUGUUUAUUACUGAGGCUAUUUUUUUGCACGAAUUUUCUUUGAACAAAUAGUUUGUAAAACUACAAUCUUAGUGAUUAUAAGGAUGUGGGAAUGCUUUCAUCGCAUCAAUGAGCAGUUCAUCAUUUUCCUUAACGUCCUCAUUCUCAAGUCAUUAAACAUAUUACAAUAAUUGUAAUCACUCAGUCUACUGCGACAAAUACCAUGCAUACAUAACCUCACUAGUAAAGCAUCACAUUUUAAACUAAGGCACGUACCCUGUGAUGAUUUGUGAUUGACUAUUCAGAAGAAGUGUAAGAGUUUCUUUGGCUGAUGGCAAAAAACGAGACGUAACUGACGUAGAGUAAGGCAGAGAAAAAUAUGGUGACAUGUUUACUCAUUCGUAUCGCCAAAAAAGAUGUAUCUUAUUAAGAGACCAAUACAGAGAAAAGAAAGAUUGAAACUGAAUCCAAAAAUAAGUGUUGCUGCUAAAGCUACUCGAUUUCCUUUUCAUCAAAAACUACACUAGUUGCAUCAAAUCUCAACUAAAUGUAAUUGAUGAAGAUUAUGACCUAUGUAACCUAUGUAGCCCAGGCAGCACACAUUGGUUUCAAAACCGUUUCAUAAACGUUUUGCCGUAACGUUUCAUAACCAUUUUAUUGAAACGUUUAUUUAGGAGAAAAAUGUCCAC